rnacentral:rRNA from 1 species
UACGUAGGGGGCAAGCGUUAUCCGGAUUCACUGGGCGUAAAGGGAGCGUAGACGGCCAUGCAAGCCUGGAGUGAAAUGCCGCGGCUUAACUGCGGAACUGCUUUGGAAACUGGCGGACUUGAGUACCGGAGAGGUCAUCGGAAUUCCUUGUGUAGCGGUGAAAUGCGUAGAUAUAAGGAAGAACACCAGUGGCGAAGGCGGCUUACUGGACCGUAACUGACGUUGAGGCUCGAAAGCGUGGGGAGCAA